UUUACGGUCUCGAAGGCAUUUAUUCAGAUUAGAACAGCUGCGUAUAACCUACUACCCAAGCAAUCAGCUCAAGAAUCCAAAUAAAAUAAAACGAGAGAAACUAGUAAGGAAAUAAUAAAGGUAAUGAUAAAAAUGAAUAAACCAUAAAACAAGCCGUGGAACAUCCACAUGAAAUAAAGGCAUCAAGAACACAAAAGUGAGCUGCUUAGAAAGUGCACGAUUUCAACACAGCUUGGAAGUCUGGGACUGCAGGAGGUGGCACACACGGACAGUGGGGCGAGGGGAGACGGGGUCCGCGGACGGGCUCAGGAGCGCCCCCACAGGCAGUGUCGGGAACGACCGCCGCAACGCGCCUCUCUGAUCUCACACCCGCACAGCCCAGGCUCCCACCAGAGAUGUGCCCACGUGCAGAGUGGACGUUCAGCUCUGCAGAAGAAUCACCUUUCAUUGCGCCAAGAUUCCUUUCACUCAGUGUUGAGAAGUGAGUCCCACCAAGUGGAUCUGUCCUUAUGGGGCCCAUGGAGCCCGGGAAGUUUCAACAGAGAACGCCGAGUUCAGAAUCCGAGAGAGAAGUGGUUAACAGAGCUGUGAACCCGAUCCUCAGAGAAAGCGCAAGAGGGAAGCCAGCCAGCACUGGGGGGAGGGGGGGGACAGCAUUUGCUGAGGCUAAGAGGCCACAGUGAGGACCGCUGGCCACUGUGCAGCUGUGCAACCUGGAGCAAGCCCCUGACCAUUCUGAGCGCAAACCCUCCUCUUCAAGUUGAAGAUGGCCCCAGUGCCCCCCUCCGGAAUUGCCAAGAUGACCUAAGAUAAUGGAUGGAACGCUGCGGGUCCAGGGCCUGCCAGAGGCAACCAUGAGCUUCCUUGGUGUGAGCCUCCCAUCAGCACAGGGGGAUGAGGAGGCAGGAGGAACAUCAGAGACAGAGGGAAAGGCAGGUUUGAGUCGGGCUGCAGAGCUCUCCAUGCCACGCCACGCCACCCCAACGGGUGGAGCUGGGCACAGAGCCUCUGAGCAGUCUUCAGAGAACCCACAGGGUAAGACAGGGCCCAGCCUAAGAGAAGGGGACCCACGAGAACCAACCGCACAGCAGGAAAGAUCACCAGGGGAGGAGACACUCUGGGGACCUGGGCUCCCAAUACGUGCCCUCCAGGCUCCCACUUUUGGAGCUGUACGUCGCUUUCCCUGCUGUGUGGCAUCAGAGCUCAGUGUGAGGGCGUCCGUGUGUGUGCUGGCGGACUGGACGCCACGGAGCAGCUCCACGCCAAUUCACCGUCACGUGGGUCAGCGUCUGUCUCUUAACAAGAGCUUUGAUCUAACUCGCCUGAUUCCGAAACAUCUUCCCCUGUUUGGACAGAAGGCUCCAGGGGGAGUCUAUCUGGAAUCCUCCAGCAAGGGCACCGCGGCGUCGGCCAGCCCUGGCCGCUCAAAGACGCUUCCAGGGACGCAGCUGCUGCGUAAACAACUGCUUUUCAGAACAAGCGAAUUGGCAGAAAACUACAGGAGCUCAAGGACUGGUCAGCGAGUCCGUGACAACAGGCAGGCCCCUGUAGUCGCUUUCCAGACCCUGCUGGCUUGCACAGCUACACCUGUAGCUGUUUGCCACCUUCCUCUACCUGUACGUCUGUGCUUGGCAAGGGAGGGGCUGAAUAACCUGGUUUAAUAAACGCUCUGGGAGCACUUCAGAGAGAUGGGGGCCAACGCUGGGCCCGAGCAAUCCGCUACUGGGUAAGACAUACUCUCAGCCCUCAAGGACGCAACGGUGACGGUCGGUAAGGCGGAAUGCUAGCAGAGUGUGAUGCGUGCUCUGAGUCGGCGUGCGUGCUCCCUGAGCAUCAGGGAGACUCCCCGGGAGGGCAGCAUUUGGACGGAGACUUCAAGGACGAGCCGUUUUCCCAGGUAGACAGCUGGGGUGGAGAAUCCCUGGCAGAAGAACAGCGGUAUCCAAGCCACACAACCCGCAGCUUCCUAACGCAGAGCCUCCUCCAGCACCCGGGCUGCUCAGCUCCCUAGCUCACCCCUGAAGCUUAAUUAAAAUGAAGAUGAAGUGCUCUCCGUGACGGGGCGCGCUGGGUGGCAGCCACCGUGCCAAGGACCCGGCGGGCCCUCUCAUGUGCACAAUGCUCCUCGGCUUCUGCUCUGGCGACAGAGGCUUCCUCCAGGAGCCUCAUUAUAAUUCCUUUGAUAAUUAAAACAACAGAUGUUAUAAUUAAGAGGCUCCUCAUUAAAUCACAAAUAACUGAAGCUUGAGGUUGGGUCCUCCCUGAACAGUGCCGUGGAGUCACCUUUGGAGCUAAGAGGGAAGGCAGCCAGGCCGGGAACACUCGGGAGGUGGGAAGGCCGUGGCGGGCAUCCUGGGGCAGGCGGCGAGGACCGGUGCAUGAUGGGAGUGUGGGGGAGAGGCAGCUUCCGGCGGUUGGGUGGGGCAUGGAGGACCGGCUCUGGGGGCUCUGCCUUGUCCUGCUGUUCUCUGGCCCUCAGGGAUCAGGUGCACGGGGAGCGGCCAAGGCAAACGAGACCCCGAGACUUGAGGCAAGGGCUUGGACAAGGGCUCUGUGUACUCGGUUCUCCCGUAGACCACACUGCUCCACCAUCCCUGCAUGAGCCCAGCCUCUGAGCCGCCACACCUGGGCCCCGGGGAGCCGGUGAAAUGCACCUGGGCCUGGGGUCUGGGGGCAGGAGGUGGUUGUAAAGCCCCAGCCCGGAGUCUGCAGGGAGGGAGCUGGAGUGUGCACUGGCUGAGUUGCCACGAGGGGCUUCUAGGAGGCAGCUCCAUGGGGAGCCCCGAGUCUGGCUGUGGCUGCGGGCUGGUGGCCCAGCAGGGGUUGGGGGGGGCAUUGGCACUAGAGCUGGACUCAAAGCCCACAGGGGCAGUGCUGCUGUCCUCGGCCCUCUCCCGCCACUGCCCCACUCUGGCUGUGCCAUUGGAUGAGCUCUGAACAGCCCUGUGCCACGGGGAGGAGCCAGCAGGCCUCUGCCAGUCCCCUCACCUCCUCCCGCACUGUCCUCAGGCCAUGGCGUCUCUCUCUCAUCCUGCUUCCUCGACGGUGAACCAAGGGCAGAAGCCCUGAAUGCUCAUGGUGACAGUGCGUGCUCCCUGGUGUGCCAGCACAUUCAGAGUCUUGCUCAUGUCCGCUCUUGAAUGCUCACACGACCCCGUAGGAGGGCAGGUGGAGGGCGGGCAGAUCAGCUGGUAAGAGCCUGCAGCCGGGGAGGGCCAGCCCAAGGCCGGGCCCUGCUGGUUGUUCCGCCUUGCCAGGGUGGGGCAGGCACAGAGGGAGCCAAUGCUCCUCCCCAGGUAGCCUGAGCCAGGCUAGGGCGUCCGUUUCACCAACGCAGAGCAGCUCCAGGUUGGGUAAUGGCGGGCACGCGAGAAGGGAGCCAAGGCCGCCA